GACGAACGCUGGCGGCGUGCUUAAUACAUGCAAGUCGAACGGAAAGGCCCUGCUUUUGUUGCGUGCUCGAGUGGCGAACGGGUGAGUAACACGUGAGUAACCUGCCCUUGACUUUGGGAUAACUUCAGGAAACUGGGGCUAAUACCGGAUAGGAGCUCCUGCUGCAUGGUGUGGGUUGGAAAGUUUCGGCGGUUGGGGAUGGACUCGCGGCUUAUCAGCUUGUUGGUGUGGUAGUGGCUUACCAAGGCUUUGACGGGUAGCCGGCCUGAGAGGGUGACCGGCGACAUUGGGACUAAGAGACGGACCAGAAUCCUACGGGAGGCAGCAGUGGGGAAUAUUGCGGAAUAGGCGGGAGCGUGAUGCAGCAACGCCGCGUGCGGGAUGACGGCCUUCGGGUUAUAAACAGCUUUCGCCGGUGACGAAGCGGGAGUGACGGUAAUGGGUAAGGAAGCACCGGCUAACUACGUG
rnacentral:rRNA from 1 species